GCGCGAAAACUUUACAAUGCUGGCAACAGCGAUAAGGGAACCUCGAGUGCCAGGUUACAAAUCUGGCUGUCGUGAUGCCUAAAAAGCAUUGCAUAGCAAGGGCCGGGCAAGACCGGUGCCAGCCGCCGCGGUAACACCGGCGGCUCGAGUGGUAACCGUUAUUAUUGGGUCUAAAGGGUCUGUAGCCGGCCGGAUAAGUCUCUUGGGAAAUCUGGCAGCUCAACUGUCAGGCUUUCAGGAGAUACUGUCUGGCUCGAGGCCGGGAGAGGUGAGAGGUACUUCAGGGGUAGGGGUGAAAUCUUGUAAUCCUUGAAGGACCACCAGUGGCGAAGGCGUCUCACCAGAACGGACCUGACGGCAAGGGACGAAAGCUAGGGGCACGAACC
rnacentral:rRNA from 1 species